UACGUAGGGGCCGAGCGUUGUCCGGAGCUACUGGGCGUAAAGCGCGCGCAGGCGGCUCGUCAAGCCUGACGUGAAAGCCCCCGGCUCAACCGGGGAGGGUCGUCGGGGACUGGCGGGCUUGAGGUCGGCAGGGGUUGGUGGAAUUCCCGGUGUAGUGGUGAAAUGCGUAGAGAUCGGGAGGAACACCUGUGGCGAAAGCGGCGCACUGGACCACAACUGACGCUGAGGCGCGAAAGCUAGGGGAGCAAACAGG
rnacentral:rRNA from 1 species